rnacentral:rRNA from 1 species
AUACGUAGGGGGCGAGCGUUGUCCGGAAUGAUUGGGCGUAAAGGGCGCGUAGGCGGCCCGGUAAGUCUGGAGUGAAAGUCCUGUUUUUAAGAUGGGAAUUGCUUUGGAUACUGUCGGGCUUGAGUGCAGGAGAGGUAAGUGGAAUUCCCAGUGUAGCGGUGAAAUGCGUAGAGAUUGGGAGGAACACCAGUGGCGAAGGCGACUUACUGGACUGUAACUGACGCUGAGGCGCGAAAGUGUGGGGAGCAAACAGGAUUAGAUACCCUGGUAGUCCACACUGUAAACGAUGAAUGCUAGGUGUAGGGGGUAUCGACCCCUUCUGUGCCGCAGUCAACACAAUAAGCAUUCCGCCUGGGGAGUUCGGCCGCAAGGUUGAAACUCAAAUGAAUUGGCGGGG